UACGGAGGGUGCAAGCGUUAUCCGGAUUUACUGGGUUUAAAGGGUGCGUAGGUGGAUAAUUAAGUCAGUGGUGAAAUCUUCAGGCUUAACCUGGAAACUGCCAUUGAUACUAUUUAUCUUGAAUACUUUGGAGGUAAGCGGAAUAUGUCAUGUAGCGGUGAAAUGCUUAGAUAUGACAUAGAACACCAAUUGCGAAGGCAGCUUACUACACAGUAAUUGACACUGAGGCACGAAAGCGUGGGGAUCAAGCAGG
rnacentral:rRNA from 1 species